AUUUGUAGUAAUUGAAAGUAUCCAUCCAGUUGUGGUUUAAACCUCUGUACAGACUCUGAUAAAACCACCUCUUUAGGCAGGUCACAUUCUUAUUCUUACUGAAAGAUUAUUUCCUUUGCUAUAGACUAAAUCUAAUUUAUUCCAGUCUAAAUGUUUAUGAAUAGAUGUAUAAAUUUUUAUGAAUAGAUUUACAAACAAUGGCUUAUAUUGGCC